AGUGAACGCUGGCGGCAGGCCUAACACAUGCAAGUCGAGCGGCAGCGCGGGGGCAACCCUGGCGGCGAGCGGCGGACGGGUGAGGAAUUCGUCGGAAUCUGCCUUUUUGUGGGGGAUAACGUAGGGAAACUUACGCUAAUACCGCAUACGACCUACGGGUGAAAGUGGGGGACCGCAAGGCCUCACGCAGAAAGAUGAGCCGACGACCGAUUAGCUAGUUGGUGGGGUAAAGGCCCACCAAGGCGACGAUCGGUAGCUGGUCUGAGAGGAUGAUCAGCCACACUGGGACUGAGACACGGCCCAGACUCCUACGGGA
rnacentral:rRNA from 1 species